rnacentral:lncRNA from 1 species
UUAAAUUCAACCAAAACAAAUUAUCAGUGUGCUUUUUUUACUUACAGCUCCUUCAGAUGGCCAUGGGGAUCCAAUCUCCGGCAGUCUACAUACAAACUCAGAGUCACAAAUUAGAAACAAGCUGUUUCUUUUUUAUUAAAAGGGACUUGCUACUAUUACAUUAACUCAGUCAUAGGGAAACAGCAACAAUAACAACAACAGCCACAAAGAAACAAUUUUUCUGGUCAUUAAGCUAAGCAGCACCCAUUGCUUCUUCCUUCUUAUAGACUUCUCUCUCUUAUUGUCUUUCUUAAGACAUUAAGCUAAGCAGCACCCAUUGCUUCUUCCUUCUUAUAGACUUCUCUCUCUUAUUGUCUUGCUAAAGAGUUAACAGUCAGUUUACUGCAUUUUCUUCUUCUGCCUGCAUACAUUCAUCCAUCCUCAAGUACUACUUACUAUCUAUG